rnacentral:tRNA from 1 species
AUGCAUCGUAGCUCAGCUGGAGAGUACUCGGCUACGAACCGAGCGGUCGGAGGUUCGAAUCCUCCAUGCAUA